AUUGAACGCUGGCGGCAUGCCCUACACAUGCAAGUCGAACGGCAGCACGGGGCAACCUGGUGGCGAGUGGCGAACGGGUGAGUAAUGCAUCGGAACGUACCUUUCAGUGGGGGAUAACGUAGCGAAAGUUACGCUAAUACCGCAUAUUCUGUGAGCAGGAAAGCAGGGGAUCGCAAGACCUUGCGCUGAUUGAGCGGCCGAUGUCAGAUUAGCUAGUUGGUGAGGUAAAGGCUCACCAAGGCGACGAUCUGUAGCGGGUCUGAGAGGAUGAUCCGACAACCUGGAACUGAAACACGGUCCAGACUCCUACGGGAGGCAGCAGUGGGGAAUAUUGGACAAUGGGGGCAACCCUGAUCCAGCCAUGCCGCGUGAGUGAAGAAGGCCUUCGGGUUGUAAAGCUCUUUCGGCCGGGAAGAAAUCGCACGGGCUAAUACCCUGUGUGGAUGACGGUACCGGAAUAAGAAGCACCGGCUAACUACGUGCCAGCAGCCGCAGUAAUAC
rnacentral:rRNA from 1 species